rnacentral:lncRNA from 1 species
GGGUAAUGCUUCCAAACUGGUUUAUACUCCAUUGACAGACAAGUGCUACUUAACUCUCACUCAAGCCAUGAAGAUGGGACUUGGAGGAAAUCCUUAUGGACCAGCUGGAACUGGGAAAACGGAGUCAGUAAAGGCUUUAGGUGGACUUCUUGGAAGACAAGUUUUAGUCUUUAAUUGUGAUGAGGGCAUCGAUGUGAAGUCAAUGGGACGAAUAUUUGUUGGUUUGGUGAAGUGUGGGGCCUGGGGUUGUUUUGAUGAAUUUAAUAGGCUGGAAGAAUCUGUACUGUCAGCAGUUUCUAUGCAAAUCCAGACAAUUCAAGAUGCUUUGAAGAAUCAUAGAACUGUAUGUGAACUGCUUGGCAAGGAGGUAGAAGUAAAUUCUAAUUCUGGAAUUUUUAUCACUAUGAAUCCUGCUGGAAAAGGUUAUGGAGGAAGACAAAAACUGCCUGAUAAUCUUAAACAGCU